rnacentral:rRNA from 1 species
UGGGGAAUAUUGCACAAUGGGCGCAAGCCUGAUGCAGCCAUGUCGCGUGUAUGAAGAAGGCCUUCGGGUUGUAAAGUACUUUCAGCGGGGAGGAAGGGAGUAAAGUUAAUACCUUUGCUCAUUGACGUUACCCGCAGAAGAAGCACCGGCUAACUCCGUGCCAGCAGUCGCGGUAAUACGGAGGGUGCAAGCGUUAAUCGGAAUUACUGGGCGUAAAGCGCACGCAGGCGGUUUGUUAAGUCAGAUGUGAAAUCCCCGGGCUCAACCUGGGAACUGCAUCUGAUACUGGCAAGCUUGAGUCUCGUAGAGGGGGGUAGAAUUCCAGGUGUAGCGGUGAAAUGCGUAGAGAUCUGGAGGAAUACCGGUGGCGAAGGCGGCCCCCUGGACGAAGACUGACGCUCAGGUGCGAAAGCGUGGGGAGCAAACAGG